rnacentral:rRNA from 1 species
GCCUAACACAUGCAAGUCGAGCGGCAGCACGGGAAGCUUGCUUCCUGGUGGCGAGCGGCGGACGGGUGAGUAAUGCAUAGAAAUCUGCCCGGUAGUGGGGGAUAACCUGGGGAAACCCAGGCUAAUACCGCAUACGUCCUACGGGAGAAAGCAGGGGAUCUUCGGACCUUGCGCUAUCGGAUGAGUCUAUGUUGGAUUAGCUUGUUGGUGAGGUAAUGGCUCACCAAGGCGACGAUCCGUAGCUGGUCUGAGAGGAUGAUCAGCCACAUCGGGACUGAGACACGGCCCGAACUCCUACGGGAGGCAGCAGUGGGGAAUAUUGGACAAUGGGCGAAAGCCUGAUCCAGCCAUGCCGCGUGUGUGAAGAAGGCCUUCGGGUUGUAAAGCACUUUCAGUGGGGAAGAAAGCCUCGGGGCUAAUACCCUCGAGGAAGGACAUCACCCACAGAAGAAGCACCGGCUAACUCCGUG